CCCAUCAGGACCUUUCCUGAAUUGAGAAGAGAAAUCACAAGGCUUUUCUAUUUCUCUUUUUUAUUUAACGGUUAAGGGUCAAAUAUAUCCUUGUACUAUUAAAAAUAGGUCAUAUUUAUCAUUCGUUUGAAUUUUUUAUCAAAUAUAUCCCCACCGUUAUACAUUAGGGCCGUAUAUAUCCUUCAGCCGUUAAAAUUUGCUUCCAGAUUCUUUUUUAACAUGUGGCAUGUUCUGAUUGGACCAGAUGACCAGUCACAUUCGAUUAAUUAAACCUGCCCUGACCUAGCGUAUUAAACCCGUCCGACCCAACAUAAUAAACAUUUUGCACCAGCGUAAUCUACUACUAUCUCAUUAAUCUUUUAAUUAGUUAGUUGGGUUUAUUUUAACUUUUUAAAAAGUUUUCUUUAGAUAAUUUAAAAAGAAAAGCUCGUGAAUUUUGUUUUUUCUCUAACAAAUUACAUCUCACUUUACUUUUUUAGGAUAAGAUUUUCAUAUUCACUUCUUUUGACGAUCACAUUUGUUGUUGGAACAUAAUUCCAUUUCAUAUAUACGAUUUUGACAUUGAGAAAGGGGCCAAAAAGCAUUAGGGACAGAGAAGAGAGGGAGGUGAAAAGAAAAGUAAAACCUAGAGCCGCCUACUUCAUCUUCUUCUACUAAUACUAGUUCCCUGUUUGAUCCAUUUUGAUAACUAUGCGAAUCCUUUGUCCAAUACCAUCUUCCUUAAACCGAUUUUAUUUUUCAUUCUCACAUCCGCAUGCACCUUCCUCCCAUUCUUCCACUAUUGAGAUAACCCCAAUUCCUCUAACCACAAUCACGAAAUAGUUGUUAAUUUUUGUAGCUUGACCAAACAGAUUAAUAAAUCGCUUUAACAUAUUUAGCGGUUUGUGCCAUUUAAGUUUCAAUAACCGUUUGAUUUUUGUUAUCCUAAAAAUCCAAGAUCUAACUUGGUAGUUGGUAACAAUCAAAAUCCUCAAUUACACCAAUCCAUAUGUCG
rnacentral:lncRNA from 1 species